ensembl:lincRNA Pvt1 uncharacterized LOC110335330
GAGCACAUGGACCCGCUGGUCAAGCGGGCUCUGCAAGGCCAGGAUGAAGAGAAGCUGCGAACUUACCACUCCCAGAGCCCCCCGAGUGGAUAUCCGCGUGUAAAGGAUGUUGGCAGCCUCGGUGACCUCGGAGUCACGGCUGGACCCACCCUCCCGUCUGAUUUUCUUAACUCGACCACGGUAAGAAGAUGCCCUCCUGCAGCAGGCCGUGCUUGCGGACCCCUCUGGAGACUUCCCGAACCCUGUGGAUUUACAGUAAGAUGCAGUUUCCCUGGGGAGUAAUUCUGGUGGAUACAAAUUCCGGAGUACCUCACCUGGCUUGCCUGGAGACGCUACAAGGAGCUGGAUGGAUUCUUCUAGCCUAGAUGCCCCCUGAGAAUGCGGUCGCAGCUCAGAGCACUGUAUGUCUACCCUUGACUCAACGGGAAUAUUUGCUCUCAUCUCUCGGGCUACCUGGAGCUCUCUCUAAAAUAGAGCUGAGUCCUGUCACUGCAGACAUUGGCAGUGGCGCUUGCAUGCCCCUGGCAAGUGGUCUGUCCUGAGGUGGCUGAAUUCUGGCUGGUAACCAGCCCAGGGGCUGGGACACUCCCUGAUUGAGGUGGCCGUUGAGAAUUCAAGUGUACCCCUUGGUCCCUGAUGCAGAAAUGAAGUCCCCAGCAGGCAUAAGAAGAGCUUCCUUGGAGGGCGAGAGGCCUGGGAAUCUUUAGGCAUAUCCUUUAGGCGUUCCAGAAGGACUUUGAGAACCAUCCUUUCCUAAAUCAAAGGUGGAAUAUUUGGCGAUUUGGAAAAUUGAGAUGAGAAGCGUUGACUUAAGAGAUGCCAAGUCACUCAGCAGAUGUCACACAGAUGACAACUAGCAAAGAUGGAAGGCUUCAUGCUGGAGGCAGUUCUAUAAGACAGCUGAGUUCUCCAGAGCUGGUAGGAGACAGACUUGCUCAGGUGAUAGAUCCGGCCAUGAUAUUGGCCAUAAGAGAAUCUGACACUGCAGAAGUCAUAGAAGAUUCCUGAAACUGGGAAAGAUGCCUAGAAAUCUGGAGAAGAGUGAAGAAGCAGCUGGCAGGCAGAGCCCCCUUCCACAUCACUAUGAAAGACAUCCAACAGACAGCAAGUUUCCACCUCACUUCCAGCUUGAUUCCUCUUUAUCUCCUAAUUGCGGCGUGUGAUGUCUUCAGGAGUGGAAUUAACUAGUUCUGGGUACCUGGAGGCACAGCAGCCAUGUUGAACCUAUGAGGUGAUGAAAAGCCAUGCAACUAGAAGCCAGAAUGGAAGAAAAGAAGAGGCUGGAUCCCUGACUGAAUUGUCGAUGGGGAUAGUCCGUCAUCCCAGGGCUAAGACCACCUCCAUAUUUCUUGUUUGGUGAAACAAUUCCUAACUGGUUACAUUCCUUUAUGUUGAGCUGUCUCUUACUUGUAGCUGAAAGCGAUUCUAAUAGAUAUUCAGAUUAUCUGCACACUGAGGGGCAGCCUUAGCUCCAAGCUAGAAUACUCUAGGGGACUUUAGCUUCUCCAUGAAUUCCUUUGCUCAUCUGUGUAAUGCUCAAUAAAUGUAAAUUGAACCCUGAAUGAGGGACAAUG